AUGCGUUUUUCAAAAGAAAGAGAGGUGAUUCAACUGAAUGUGAAGCUGAUGAAACCACUAGCAACAGAAGAAAUUCCUGUUCCGCCUCCUCUGUUGUUGCUCGAAUUUGAGCAACAUGGACCACAUCCUUCGAUGCCUCAGCAACAAGGCCAUCAAACUCAAACAAAUGAAGUACAAUUUCGAGGGAUUGAAUUCUUGCAGCGGGAUCCAGCACUACGUCCACAGAUUUGGCAAUAUCCACCUAAUCAAAGAGAUGAUGUGCGGCGAGCGUAUUUGAAGCUUGGUAUUAUGCAGCCCCGCUUGAAGGAUUACAAAGCUUACGGUCCAGAAGGUCGCAAACGACGCUUUAAAUAUGACUGGUUCAAGGAUUUCCCAUCAUGGUUGGAGUACUCGGAGGACAGUCAUCGUGCAUAUUGCUUCUAUUGUUUCUUGUUCAGCAACAAUAAAAACAAGCGAGGUGGUUCAGAUGUCUUUACAGUGCGAGGAUUUGUAAAUUGGAAGAAGGUCCAUGAUGGAAAGAAAUGUGCAUUCUUAAACCAUAUAGGUUCUGAACCUUGCUCUGUACAUAAUAAUGCAACCAAAGCAUAUCAUGACUUCUUGAAUCAGCAAGGCCAUUUAGGAAAUGUUGUAGCAGUGGGCAACGAGAGGAAGACAGAAAGAAACCAGCUGAGGGUGAAAGUAUCAAUUGCAGCUGUUAAGUGGUUGACAUCACAAUCUUGUGCAUUUAGAGGCCAUGAUGAAACACCAGAGUCAAAGAACAAAGGGAACUUUAUUGAACUAUUAAAGCUCCUUGCAGAAUUCAAUCCUGAGAUUGCUGAAGUUAUUUUGGAGAAUGCUCCAUACAGUUCAAAGUACACAUCACAUGAAAUCCAACAAGAGAUAUUGGGUAUUUAUGCAUUUAAAGUUAGGAAACAUAUCCGUGAAGAGAUUGGGAAUUCUAAGUUUUCUAUUCUAGUGGACGAGACAUGUGAUGUAGCAAAAAGAGAGCAGAUGGCAUUGGUUCUCAGAUUCGUUGAUGAAGAUCGUAUAUUGCAAGAGCGGUUCUUUGACUUGAUACAUGUGACGAACACCAAAGCCGCAACACUUAAAGAGGUUGAGUACGCGAAAGGAAACUCAUCCCAUGGGAAGCAGCAUGCACGUGCUGACCCACGAAGUGCUGGGAAAGAAACGGGUUCUGGUGUUAACGAGGGUGGCACUUCUGGGAAGGAUGUACCUAAUGACAGUGCUGAGGAAGUCCUGGAAGAUUCAGAGGAGUCUGAGGACAAUACACUGUUAAUUGAUUCUAUUGCUCAGGAAGCAUGUGAAAAAGCAGAUUUGGGUGGAUCUCAGGCACUGCUUGUUAUUGAUUACAAUAAGCAGAAUGCUGAUGAGAUUGAGGUGGAAGAAGUGAUGGAUGAUAAGAACAGCAAGGCUGAUAUGCAUGUGGAGUACAUGGUACAAUUCCCUGUCUCUUCUGAUGAUGUGGAGGAAGUGCUUCCUACUCCUCCACUAAGAUCUGAGGAUACUCUGAGAUUCAGUACAAGGAAUGUGCAGAACAUGGAGGACAAGAUACAAGAUAGAGCUGUGGCCAUUCCAAAAAAGAGGAACCUUGAAGGUCUGAUGAAGCAAGAGGACGCGGUGACGCUAAGAACUGGAGGGGAAAAGCUGAAAGAGAACGCUUCUCGGCUGAUGAGGAUAUGCGCGACGGCCUGUCAGGAAGAAGGAGCUCGUUGA
rnacentral:rRNA from 1 species